CCAAUACACGCAAACUGUAUAUAUAUCGAAACACAAGCUUAAGGCAAAAUCACAUCUGUCAACGUCAAAUGAAAUGUAAAUGCAUGUGGUGGUGUGCAAGUUGCUAGCUCCGUUCCCCUUCAGGCGCUUGAUGAGAAUAUGUGAUUCCACUCUUUACAUAUAACUACGUUCCAAUUCCUUCAAUCAACCAUCUACCCGCCAAAGAAAAAUUCCUAGACAGUCUAAAGUUUCAAUCCAGAGGGAACAGAUGGACAGUGGAAGGGAAAAUAGUGUAGAGAGUGGAGUUGGAUUGCAUGAUGAAAAUAUUAUCACAUCAGAAGAUGAAGAAUUGUCAGUAGGUGGGAUAUUUGAGAACGAGGAGGUACCUUCAUGGACAAAACAGUUAACUAUAAGAGCUUUUGUGGUGAGUUUUGUGUUGUCAGCAAUGUUAUGCUUCAUAGUGAUGAAACUCUACUUCAGUCUUGGUAUUAUACCACCAAUGAAUGUUGCUGCUGGGCUAUUGGGAUUUUUCUUUGUCAAGACUUGGACUAAAACACUGGAGAAAGCUGGCAUUUUGAAGCAGGCCUUGACCCGCCAAGAAGUUACAGUCAUUCAGACCUGCGUUAUUGCCUCCACAGGCAUUGCUUUUAGCGGUCAGUACAUAUGGAUCCAAUCAUUCUUCUUUUCCCCUUGCGCGCACAGUUGUAUAUAGAAUAUCUUACAUGAGCACCUUGUACAGGAGGCUUUGGAAGUUACCUGUUUGGAAUGAGUGAACGUGUUGCCAAUCAAGCAGCAGAAGCCAAGUAUGAGUUGGACUACAAGAACCCAGCACUAGGCUGGGUGAUUGGCUUUCUUUUUUUAACUAGCUUCUUGGGUCUUUUCUCGGUGGUUCCUCUUCGAAAGCUAUGCUGGACACUGUUAUACAAUUCAACACAUAAAAUUUUUACGUUUUUGAAUCGUGAAUGAUGUGUCACAUUUUUUUUGUCUAGCUAAUGAUCAUAGACUUGAAGUUGGUGUAUCCCAGUGGUACUACCACUGCAUAUUUUAUUAACAGCUUCCACGCUCUUGGAGGGGCAAAACUAGCAAAGUAAGUAGCUAAUAGCUAUUCCGGUUAAAAUUAACACCUCUCAUAUAGGUACAGUAUAGAGAAAAUAUAAAAUAAAUCUAAUCGGUAAAUAUCAAGAAUAAGAAGGAUUGGUUCAUUAUGUAUUCAGGAAGCAAGUCAGAGAAUUUGGCAAGUUUUUCUCAUUUAGCUUCUUAUGGGGUUUCUUCCAAUGGUUCUUCACGGCUGGUGAUGAUUGUGGCUUCUCAAAAUUCCCAACAUUUGGAUUAAAAGCGUAUAAAUACACGUAAGCCUAAAAGGUUCUUUUUGUUAUUUAAGAAUUGGUCUCUGAUUUUUCAUUUCAAUAUACCGGGAGAUGUUUCCUGCUCAUUGCAGAACUUUAAAUGGUGUGACUGAGCAUCGUCGAACCGAAAUGCAGUUUGACUACUUUUCCAUUUAAGAUCUAAUCUUGAUCAUCAGAUAUAGACUCAAUUUCAGUUAAUAUAUAUAUCCAAUUCCAUGUCUGCAUGCCAGUACUAAAGUUAUCAUCAAACUAAGUCGUCUUAUGUUUCACUCAAAACCUUGUUUUGGAAGCUACAGGUUUUUCUUCGAUUUCUCAGCAUUGAAUGUUGGAGUAGGGAUGAUCUGCCCUCACAUCGUGAAUAUAUCUUUUCUUCUUGGAGGAAUACUUUCUUGGGGUAUUUUGAGGCCUCUCAUUGAAACUAGAAAGGGGGAUUGGUACUCUGCAGAUCUCGAGCCACAUAAUUUCCGGGGACUUUAUGGUUAUAUGGUGAAUUCCUAUUCCAUCAUAGUUUUCCCCAAUGCUGCCAUUUAUUAAUUUGCUUUUUCACGGAUACACUUCACUAAAACAAAAUGUCAACUAAAACUACAUCAGGUAUUCAUUGGCAUUUCCAUGUUUCUCGGUGAUGGCCUAUACAACUUUUUCAAGGUUCUAAGCCGAACUCUGGCUGGUUUGUAUUACAAAAUUCUACGCAGAAAUACAAACAUGCAAAUCCCAGUUGUAGGAAAUUCCUCUCCUGUACGAAAAUCACUCUCUUAUGAUGACCGACAUUGUACCGAAGUCUUUCUUAAGGAUCAAAUCCCAACAUGGUUUGCCGUUGGAGGUUAUUUUGCCCUUGCUGCAGUCUCUACUGCAAUCCUUCCUCACAUUUUCCACCAGCUCAAGUGGUACUACAUCAUUGUUAUAUACAUAUUUGCACCAAGCUUGGCCUUCUGUAAUGCGUAUGGGUGUGGGCUCACUGAUUGCUCAUUCGCAUCAAAUUACGGAAAACUAGCUGUCUUUACAAUUGGGGCAUGGGCGGGGGCAUCACAUGGUGGAAUACUUGCUGGUCUAGCAGCAUGUGGAGUGUUGCUUAAUAUAGUUUCCACUGCCUCUGACCUCAUGCAAGAUUUCAAGACCGGAUACUUGACCUUGGCUUCUCCUUGUUCAAUGUUCGUCAGCCAAGUGAUUGGGACUGCAAUGGGAUGUGUUAUUUCUCCUUGUGUCUUUUGGAUUUUCUACAAAGCUUUUUCUGAUCUCGGGCUUCCUACAAGUGAAUAUCCUGUCCCCUUAGCUACAGUGUCCUAUAAUAUGGCUAAACUAGGUGUUGAGGGCUUAUCGGCUCUUCCUACAGGUUGCCUCAAGCUAUGUUAUGGAUUUUUUGCUGCAUCCAUUCUCAUCAACUUAACCAGAGAUGCUUUGGGAAAGAAACGUUCAUGGUUUAUUCCAAUUCCAAUGGCAAUGGCAGUACCAUUUUUUUUGGGUUCACAGAUUGCUAUUGAUAUGUGUGUUGGAAGCCUCAUAAUUUACGUAUGGCAAAAGAAAAAUAAGGCCAAUGCUGACGCCUUUGGGCCUGCCGUGGCAACUGGUUUGAUUUGUGGUGACGGGAUGUGGACUUUGCCUAAAUGUAUACUAGCUCUAGUCGGAGUGAAACCUCCAAUUUGCAUGAUGUUCAUUUCAAGGGCUACUUAUAAUAAGUUAGAUUAAGUACUAGAAUCCUAGAUAGGCCAGGGGAAAGAUUAACUAAUAUGCCAACAAGUAUCAUCUUCAUAAUCUGUAGACUUUAAAAUAUUAUCCUGUAACUAUAAAUAAGAGAAUCAAUUCAUGUUUCUGCAGUAUGAAACUGAUGAUUUAUUU
rnacentral:lncRNA from 1 species